rnacentral:rRNA from 1 species
AGUUGGUUGUCGUCAGCUCGUGUCGUGAGAUGGUGGGUUAAGUCCCGCAACGAGCGCAACCCUCGACCUUAGUUGCCAGCAUUCAGUUGGGCACUCUAAGGUGACUGCCGGCUAAAAGUCGGAGAAGGUGGGAUGACGUCAAAUCAUCAUGCCCCUUAUGACCUGGGCUACACACGUGCUACAAUGGGCGGUACAAAGGGUCGCGAACCCGCGAGGGGGAGCCAAUCCCAAAAAGCCGCUCUCAGUUCGGAUUGCAGGCUGCAACUCGCCUGCAUGAAGCCGGAAUCGCUAGUAAUCGCGGAUCAGCAUGCCGCGUCAUCGUCCGGCCUU